rnacentral:lncRNA from 1 species
AGAAGGUCGUUUGCAAAUAGAUGCGAGGGUUGAUUUUGCUUCUUAUCGAAGGAAUCCUCGAUUGUUUAUACUUGCUGAUGUUUAAUAUAUGGACUUAAUGAAUAAUAUUCUAUGCGCAUUUAGAUAUUGUGAGAGAAUACUUAAAUAGUAUUUUGAGAUUUUUGUUGAGUGAUUUAAAUCUGUAAGUUAUGCAGUUUAUAUAGCAGGGAGUUAUCAUAAUGACUAUUUGUUUUGUGACCUGCUACAAUUUAAUCCUGGAGUAUUGAGGUGUUUAUUUGUGUGUUACUGGAAGGUGUACACUUAAACGAGAGGUAAAAGAGCAGGUCGAUAUCCGAAGACAACGUCAAAAACCCAAGGAGUUCCGCAACACAGUCCAGAUGGUACAGCCACACCGCAACGCUACCAAGCCGUUUCAGCCCCGCAAUCGGUUGUUCUUUUUAGUAUUAUUAUUUCUGUGCCAAGCUAUCUUCAGUAAUGUGUUUUUAAUGAUUACCAUUCAAAACCUGUUACUGAAGGAGCUCUUAUCCUGUUGUAAGGGCCCGC